CCGGCGUCCUGAGCCAAGCUGCCGCGUCCUUCGCCCUCCGUGUGGCCGUGGCCUUUAAACCGCCGUUUCCUCGGCGGGUGGCGGGGGCGCUGAGUUUCCCGCCGGGAGGUAAAGUGGCCCCCCUCUACUUCCCAAGUGCGGCAAGGAGACAGGCCUCUGGGCGCUAGGUACCCGCCCCCCACCCUCGCCCUACACGUGCCGGUGCGAGGCCCUCGCGAGGCCGAGGAGGCGGAGCGCUUUCCCCGAGAGCGCAGUGAGUGGGACGCGGUGCCUGUCUCUUCUCUCUCCACAGAUGAGAGAAUUGAGACAAGGAAAUUAUAUGCCCUGCUCAAUAUAAAUACAACUGGCUAUAAACUUCAGGAGGGCAAAGUACAGCAUCUCUCUCAUUCACUCCUGUGUCUCGAGCAUCCAGUACUGUGCCAGGCAUAUGAGGCACGAGUGUGUUCUGGAUGGAUGUGGAGAGAAGAGCAGCCUUCCCCACACAUGACUGCCUAGAGGAGCCGCCAGAGCGCUGGCACGUUCUGAAGAAGGCAGCAGAGAGGCGUGACUGGUGGCAGAGGGAGCCCCACGCCGAGCUGUCCCGGGGGCUCGAGACGGCGUCUCACCAAGCUGCCCUGGAACUCGCCCAGCUUUGCUUCACGUGUUCCAAGCUCAUUCUGGAGAAUUGCUGUUCCAGUAAAAGAUACAAGAGUUCUCCAGGCUCUGCCUCAGCCCCAUGAGUAGAGCAUCAACACUUUUCUCUGCUCCCAGUUCCCAGGGAAGAAUAUGUAGCCCCGAGGAUCACGGCUUCACCUGUUAGAGGACCAACCAGAGGCUGAGACCAUCAAUCCUGCUGCUGGUCCUAGUCUCCGAUUCCUAGAAGAUAGAAUCUGAUUCCUCCAGCUUGAGUCUUCCUUGCUCUACUCAACUCUGGGUGGAGUUUUAUCUUCAAGAUGAAAUCAUCAUUUUGUACUCAUUGGAUCUGUAUGGAUUGAGCAUCAUCAAAUCCUUGUAUUGAGCGGAUGUGUUUGCAGAUCUAGGUCGAAUUUACACUUGCCUGCUGGCAUCAGGUCUCCAAGGGGGAAAGAAAACAGAACUUUCCAACAGCAGUGGGUGAGCCAUCCAUCUCUACUGUACCUUGUAAUAGAGACAUAUGAAGGAUGCAGUGAUUUCACUGCCAUCAGGAAACCCUGAGAGGCAGGAGGAAAUAGAGAAGGCUGCACAGAACAACAACUAUUCCUGGACAAGACACCACUGAGAAAAUCCUAGAAUACAGGGCUGAGACAGACCACACAAGAAGGGCCUCUCACUGUUGUGGCCCCUCCCGUUGCAGAGCACAGGCUCCGGACGCGCAGGCCCAGCGGCCAUGGCUCACGGGCCCAGCCGCUCCGCGGCAUGUGGGAUCUUCCCGGACCGGGGCACGAACCCGCAUCCCCUGCAUCGGCAGGCAGACUCUCAACCACUACGCCACCAGGGAAGCCCUAGAUUCUUAAAUCCUAUGAAAUCACCUUCUAUUAUGUGUUUGACAUACUGCUGGGUACAUUCUGCUCUUCAACUCAUGUGCUGCUGUUUCUUCUUUCAACAAUGUACUUUUUAAUAUCUUGCAUCUCUAGUUAUUCUGUCUGGGAUUAUUAAGAGCUGCCAAAUUGAGUUCUAAAAAGUGUUCUUAUUAAGUGGAAAAAUCAUGCUAAAAUGAGUUGUUAUCUGGAUUGAAUAGCUUAGAAACAAAUGUGCCCAAUUUCAUAAAUCUAGUUUUCACUCUAGAAGUUUGUGACAGACCUGAGAAAUUCAGGAUUUUAAAUCCUCAGAUGGAGCAAGAGAAGGCAAGGAAAGCAUAGCUCUGGACAAAUAACUGGCCACAUACUUCUGUGGUGGUCUUCCAAAGACCAAUCACACCCUUGAAAUCAAGGUACCUCUGGUGGUAGUGAAACUGCAGGACCCUGUGGGGCUCCUGGGCACAAAAGCCUUUCUAUGUCCCCCCAUUUCUUAAUUGUAGGGAAUAGGCUCCAGCCUCCGUGACCUUCCCUGAGUUCCAAAGGGCAGGUUCAAACAGUUGCUAAUCAGGGAAGGAAGGGACUCCACGACAAGUGAGGAGCAGUCAAAAAAUAACAGUGCAGCCUUGGGGCAGGAUCCUGGUUCCACCUCAAGGGAUACACAUAACAAUAUCUUUGCGCUCUUCUGCAGAACUAAAACCCGCAAGAAAUGGAAGAGGUUAACUACUUGAUGAAGCAUUCUUCCUUCCAGAGAAAAAGUCACAGUUUGAUAACCUUAAGAACCUCAGAAGCUCAUCAGGAGGCCGCCUCAGGCCAGAUUAAAGGAAUGCAGGCCCUGCACACACCCCGAUCCUUAUUAGCAACUCCACCCUUGAACCAUUGCUAUAAAACCCCUCACCAAAUCUCCCCAGGGUGGGACACACAGUUUUGAGGGGCACAAGCCCUCUGUGUCCCCGUUUGCCUGGCAAAGCAAUAAAACUAUUCUUUUCUACUUCACCCAGAACUCGUCUCCAAGAUUUGAUUUGGUACUGGCGCACAGAGGCAGUUUGAGCAUCAGUAGGUGUACAAAAGUAAAUGACUUAAACACACCCUAACAAAACAAAAACGACAGUGUCCCCAUGGCAUCUUUAAUGCAUCCACACCAUAUCCACUUAAGUUGAAUUAGUGCUUCCCAGUGCCACGUGAUGCAUAUGAGCCAGGGAGAGCACAAAUCCGUCUUCGCUUUUGGUAUUCUGUGACCCUGGGGAUUUAUAUUCUCAACUAAACUGUUUUAUUGGCCUAGUGUAUGCAUUUAAUAUCUAGUUUCAUACUGAAAACAUGUAGACGGUGAAUGACUUUGAGCUCCUUGAAAAAGCCAUGAGCUCCAAAUCACAAAGGCCGUGUAUCAGAAGAUGUUGUUAUUAACUCCCCAGACAUCCUUCAGAGUGUCAAAAGCAGCUUCCCAAGGAGCAGGGAGUCUAAUAUGGGUACAGAUUCCCCAGAUCUUGACAUUCAAUUUCAGGGUUUUAAUUUACUCCAGACUCACACGUCCUGUGUCCCAUGAAAGACAAUAGUCAGCUGCAAGAUCUCAUCACCACAGUCCCCCCAAACUGUCUGAAACUCUGGGGACUCCAAGGGAAAGAUGGAGAGAUUUUUGUCAGAUCAUCAGCACCCUAUUUUCAGAGGUCCUCCACAAGGCGGAAGUGGAAAUACUUACCUGAGUCUGUGAUCAAGUCCCUCAGCUAUCAAAGACAUGCAUCUGGAAAGUUUAUUACAACUACUGAGCCUGCACUCUAGAGCCGGUGAGCCACAACUACUGAGCCCGCGUGCUGCAACUACCGAAGCCCGUGCACCUAGAGCCCGUGCUCCGUAACAAGAGAAGCCACCACAAUGACAAGCCUGUGCACUGCAAUGAAGUGUAGCCCCCGCUCGCAGCAACGAAGACCCAACACAGCCAAAAAUAAAUUAAUUAAUUAAUUAAUUUUAAAAAAAGAGAACAAAGUUUUCUUGGAAUGCUGCUUUUGAUAAUAGACUGUGUGAAUUUGUUUACAUUU